AUUGAACGCUGGCGGCAGGCUUAACACAUGCAAGUCGAGCGGGGUGAUGGUGCUUGCACUAUCACUUAGCGGCGGACGGGUGAGUAAUGCUUAGGAAUCUGCCUAUUAGUGGGGGACAACAUCUCGAAAGGGAUGCUAAUACCGCAUACGUCCUACGGGAGAAAGCAGGGGAUCACUUGUGACCUUGCGCUAAUAGAUGAGCCUAAGUCGGAUUAGCUAGUGGGUGGGGUAAAGGCCUACCAAGGCGACGAUCUGUAGCGGGUCUGAGAGGAUGAUCCGCCACACUGGGACUGAGACACGGCCCAGACUCCUACGGGAGGCAGCAGUGGGGAAUAUUGGACAAUGGGGGGAACCCUGAUCCAGCCAUGCCGCGUGUGUGAAGAAGGCCUUAUGGUUGUAAAGCACUUUAAGCGAGGAGGAGGCUCUUUUGGUUAAUACCCAGAAUGAGUGGACGUUACUCGCAGAAUAAGCACCGGCUAACUCUGUGCCAGCAGCCGCCGUAA
rnacentral:rRNA from 1 species